rnacentral:rRNA from 1 species
ACGCUCGACACCUACUGGAGGCAGCAGUGGGGAAUAUUGCGCAAUGGGGGCAACCCUGACGCAGCAACGCCGCGUGAGCGAUGAAGGUUUUCGGAUCGUAAAGCUCUGUUCUGAGGGAAGAUAGUGACGGUACCUCAGGAGAAAGCCCCGGCUAACUACGUGCCAGCAGCCGCGGUAAUCUGAGCGGGCUGGCAAGGC